GGGGAGCAAACAGGAUUAGAUACCCUGGUAGUCCACGCCCUAAACGAUGUCAACUAGCUGUUGGGGCCUUCGGGCCUUGGUAGCGCAGCUAACGCGUGAAGUUGACCGCCUGGGGAGUACGGUCGCAAGAUUAAAACUCAAAGGAAUUGACGGGGACCCGCACAAGCGGUGGAUGAUGUGGAUUAAUUCGAUGCAACGCGAAAAACCUUACCUACCCUUGACAUGUCUGGAAUUCCGAAGAGAUUUGGAAGUGCUCGCAAGAGAACCGGAACACAGGUGCUGCAUGGCUGUCGUCAGCUCGUGUCGUGAGAUGUUGGGUUAAGUCCCGCAACGAGCGCAACCCUUGUCAUUAGUUGCUACGAAAGGGCACUCUAAUGAGACUGCCGGUGACAAACCGGAGGAAGGUGGGGAUGACGUCAAGUCCUCAUGGCCCUUAUGGGUAGGGCUUCACACGUCAUACAAUGGUCGGGACAGAGGGUCGCCAACCCGCGAGGGGGAGCCAAUCCCAGAAACCCGAUCGUAGUCCGGAUCGCAGUCUGCAACUCGACUGCGUGAAGUCGGAAUCGCUAGUAAUCGCGGAUCAGCAUGUCGCGGUGAAUACGUUCCCGGGUCUUGUACACACCGCCCGUCACACCAUGGGAGUGGGUUUUACCAGAAGUAGUUAGCCUAACCGCAAGGGGGGCGAUACCACGGUAGAUC
rnacentral:rRNA from 1 species